AUGAACGCUAGCGACAGGCCUGACACAUGCAAGUCAGGGGCAGCACAAGGAGCAAUCUGAGGUGGCGACCGGCGCACGGGUGAGUAACACGUAUGCAACCUGCCUGUAAGCGGGGAAUAACCCGUUGAAAGACGGACUAAUACCGCAUAAUACUAAAUUACUGCAUGGUAAUUUAUUUAAACAUUUAUGGCUUACAGAUGGGCAUGCGCAUGAUUAGCUAGUUGGAGAGGUAACGGCUCCCCAAGGCAACGAUCAUUAGGGGUUCUGAGAGGAAGGUCCCCACACUGGUACUGAGACACGGACCAGACUCCUACGGGAGGCAGCAGUGAGGAAUAUUGGUCAAUGGACGAGAGUCUGAACCAGCCAAGUCGCGUGCAGGAAGAAUGUCCUUAAUGGAUUGUAAACUGCUUUUGCAGGGGAAUAAAGUGCAUCACGUGUGAUGUUUUGUAUGUACUCUGCGAAUAAGGAUCGGCUAACUCCGUGCCAGCAGCUGC
rnacentral:rRNA from 1 species